AUGGGCCCCGGGCCAGUGUGGUUGGUGGCCGUUUGCGUCCUGGGAGCAGGCCCCGCGGACGCCGGAGUCACCCAGACUCCCAGAUCCCUGGUCACCGAACAGGGACAGAACGUGACCCUGAACUGUGAGCAGGACCUGAACCACGAUGUCAUGUACUGGUACCGACAAGACCCUCAACAGGUGCUGCAGCUCAUCUAUUACUCCGUUGGAAUAGGAGACAAGAUCAAGGGUGAAGCCACAGGAGAAUUUGAUGUCAUCCGGAAAGAAACACGGAGUUUCUUCCUUAAAAUCUUCUCCCUGAAGACGACAGAAUCUUGGCUGUAUUUCUGCGGGAGUAGUUUAACCACAGUGCUGCUUCAUCCCUUCCUUCACGUACACGAACCUCCCCCGGCCCGGAAAAGGAAGCAGGAGGCCGGGCCCGGGAGAAGGCCUAGAGACCUAGCUCAGCCUCCAACUCGCUGGACAAGGACUGGACAUCCUGGUGUUCUGGGACCAGCUGGAGGGCAGGGCUGGGGCAGAGACACAGUCACUCCCGACUUGGAUGUCGAGGAAAAGCAGCAUGGCUCAGUGGAAUGAGCACGGGCUUGGGA